rnacentral:snRNA from 1 species
GGAUGUGAGGGGGAUCUGGCUGUGACAUCUGUCAUCCCAUUGAUCACCAGCAUUGAUUCGGCUGAUCUGGCUGCCUAGGCAGGUGUCCCCUUCCUCCCUCAGUGCUCUAUGUGCAUCCCUCCUGAAGCUGUGUGCUCGGUUGAAGAGGAUGAUCACCCUCGAUAGAGGACCGUUCCUCAGUCAAGGGUAUACAAGUAGCUGUGCUCCCCUCCAAACAAGCUCUCAAGAAACACUGAGUCGGAUCCACCCUUGGACAACCCUAUGAGAAGAGAAGGAAAGAGUGAGGCCAAGAGCUGGGAGGGGGAGCCAAGUUGGGGUUCAAAUCCAGCAAGAGUUAGGCUGUGGACUAACCUGACUUUCU